rnacentral:rRNA from 1 species
UACAGAGGUCCCAAGCGUUGUUCGGAUUCACUGGGCGUAAAGGGUGCGUAGGUGGCCAGGUAAGUUCGGUGUGAAAGCUCGGAGCUUAACUCCGAAAUGUCAUUGAAUACCAUCUGGCUAGAGGGUCGGAGGGGAGACUGGAAUUCUCGGUGUAGCAGUGAAAUGCGUAGAUAUCGAGAGGAACACCAGUGGCGAAGGCGAGUCUCUGGACGACACCUGACACUGAGGCACGAAAGCUAGGGGAGCAAACAGG